rnacentral:rRNA from 1 species
CCCUUCGGGGUACACGAGCGGCGAACGGGUGAGUAACACGUGGGUAACCUGCCCUGUACUCUGGGAUAAGCCUGGGAAACUAGGUCUAAUACCGGAUAUGACACUUCAUCGCAUGGUGUGGUGUGGAAAGUUCCGGCGGUACAGGAUGGACCCGCGGCCUAUCAGCUUGUUGGUGGGGUAAUGGCCUACCAAGGCGACGACGGGUAGCCGGCCUGAGAGGGCGACCGGCCACACUGGGACUGAGACACGGCCCAGACUCCUACGGGAGGCAGCAGUGGGGAAUAUUGCACAAUGGGCGAAAGCCUGAUGCAGCGACGCCGCGUGAGGGAUGACUGCCUUCGGGUUGUAAACCUCUUUCAGUAGGGACGAAGCGCAAGUGACGGUACCUACAGAAGAAGCACCGGCUAACUACGUGCCAGCAGCCGCGGUAAUACGUAGGGUGCGAGCGUUGUCCGGAUUUAUUGGGCGUAAAGAGCUCGUAGGCGGUUUGUUGCGUCGGCUGUGAAAACCUACAGCUUAACUGUGGGCCUGCAGUCGAUACGGGCAGACUUGAGUUCGGCAGGGGAGACUGGAAUUCCUGGUGUAGCGGUGAAAUGCGCAGAUAUCAGGAGGAACACCGGUGGCGAAGGCGGGUCUCUGGGCCGAUACUGACGCUGAGGAGCGAAAGCGUGGGGAGCGAACAGGAUUAGAUACCCUGGUAGUCCACGCCGUAAACGGUGGGUGCUAGGUGUGGGGGACUUCCACGUCCUCCGUGCCGCAGCUAACGCAUUAAGCACCCCGCCUGGGGAGUA